CUGUGCUACAAGAACAAGUCCAAGCUAGCUAACUGGAAGAUGAGAGACCGUAUGUCGAGCAGAGAGCUGAAUCUUUCCAUCUGGGGCCAACCUAGAAGAGCCAGUCUCCAGCUGACCAGGAAGUUGAUCACAGACCCGUGAGGAAGCCCGGCCAAGAUCAGAAGAGUGCAGCCCUGAUCAGCAGAACCACUCAGCCAACUUGUAGAUUUGUCAUAAUUAGCACACCUGUUAAAGUUCUCGCUGCCAUCAGAUCGUCUCUGAAUUACAGUCCAUCCUCCUCCAUCAGACAUGUCACAA